rnacentral:ncRNA from 1 species
CUGCCACAACGGCUUCCUGGCGUGGCAGCGAAACCUAAUGGAGCA